GCUCGGGAGGGAGACCGGCGAGGACGAUAUUUCAGGGCCGGAGUGUGUGGGAACGCGGCGGCGGCGGCGUGGUCGAAGAGAAGGAGGAGGGCGUCGCGGAGGAGCUUAGGUUCUCUAGUUCAGCGACAACAACACGGUGAGGGGGAGGUCGGCGGCAGUACGUCUUGCUCCACCCACUGUACCACCUGGAGAUGCAGGGGUCCUUCACGAGCCGGUGGUUGUCCUAGUAGUGCCGGUUCCUGGUGCGGAGACAGGUCUAGUUGUAACCAGUGCAACUACUCUUACCGGAGAUACUACCGGCGAAGUGGUGGAAACGAGAGAGACCCAAGCAGGCACGAGUCCCACUACGACUACCGAGGGACCUGUCCGACACCGUCUUCUCCUUCCGACUCUAGUUCGUCGAGAUCUACAACGAUCAUCAAAAUGGACCUUGAACACAGGAAGGGUACAGAUGGAUCGAGAACCUACAGACACCAACCAAAGUCAACGACGAUACCUUCGAUUCUGAACUACAGUGAACCGGACCAAAUAACACUUGUACAAAACUCAAAUUAGACACAACUUACGAACUAUAUACAGGGAAUAGAGCAACGAAUAACAAUAUGACUACUAAACCGGGAAUAGAGCAACGAAUUAGACAUAACUCAACAAACAGGG
rnacentral:rRNA from 1 species